rnacentral:lncRNA from 1 species
UCACACACACUGGAAACCGGUCAGAGAGGGAGAAGAUGCAGAGAAGGGGAAAAACCAAGGGAAAAAGGGAAGAAAAGAAAAAGAAAGGAAGGAAGAAGGAGGAAGUAAGUGUUGAUUUCUUCAUACUUGGAUUUAUUUACUUCAUUUCUUUAAGAGAUUAAGAAGUAAAUGUUUUAUAGUAUUAUGAUGUUAAAUUUCUAGUGUUUAAUUAGUUGGUUAAAUUUGUGGGUUUAAUUUGCAGAUUUAGUGAAAGGAGUAUAAUUUCUUGCUUAAAUUGCUUGAUGGAUAAAUUUUUAGUUUAAUCAAGGUUAGUAAUACUAUUUUUAGUAAACCCUAGAUUUCUAAUUGAAUGCUUGAGUAAAGAUAGUUUGGGGAAAUUAUAGUAUUGAUGAAAUAGACACUUGAAAGGAUUAAUUUAAUGGUCUAGAUGUAACUUAAAUUGCUAUAAGAGAGAAUUCAAGUUUCACAAGAAUAGAAGAAGAAAUUCUAUGUUUGGGAUGAAGGUAAACUUGGAUAUGUACAUAUUUGUGAAGGUAUUGGAAACUACAAAUAGCUCCAAUUGAUUAAAGGAAAAUUUGGAAAAAUUAUUCAAGUAUCGAGAAAUCGAGUUUUGGUUUUUAGUUAUUAAAUAUUAAGAGCUACAUAGUAUGAUAGUCGUUAAAUUGGUCAUUUUGUAUCACAUUUCAGGUGGUGACUAAGAUAUUGGAAAAGCUUAUUGAUAUUCAUAACCUAUAGCUUGUCUUGGUGAGUGGAUAUAAAGCUUAUUUUUCAGAAAUUAAUAUUUAUUAAAUUUAUGUUAGAUAAGAAAAAUUUAUUAUUUCAUACAGUUGAUUUGAUAGCGUGAUUUUUAGAAUAAAGUGGAUUUAUAAUUAAUUACUUUUUAAAGUUAAAUUCAGUUUAAUUAAAUCAUUUCAUUAGCAUGUUUUAUUCGAAUUACAUAUUUCAGUAUAGCUAAAGUUAUUUUUAAAACUUACUAGAAAAUAACCAGGUGAUUUUACCCCAGUUUGCACUGGUAUGAAUGUGUUUCCACAGUGUAUGACCAGUUAUGGUGAUUUUACCCACUCUGCACUAUUGUGAAUGUGUUUCCAUAGUGUAUGACCAGAUUAUCAGAUUAUCAAAGGUCUUUGGGAUCCACUCUCG